GACGAACGCUGGCGGCGUGCUUAACACAUGCAAGUCGAACGGAAAGGCCCCUUUGGGGGUCCUCGAGUGGCGAACGGGUGAGUAACACGGGAGUAACCUGCCCUUGACUUCGGGAUAACUUCAGGAAACUGGGGCUAAUACCGGAUAGGAAUCCUUGCUGCAUGGUGGGGGUUGGAAAGCUUCGGCGGUUUUGGAUGGACUCGCGGCUUAUCAGCGUGUUGGUGGGGUAGUGGCUUACCAAGGCUUUGACGGGUAGCCGGCCUGAGAGGGCGACCGGCCACAUUGGGACUGAGAUACGGCCCAGACUCCUACGGGAGGCAGCAGUGGGGAAUAUUGCACAAUGGGCGGAAGCCUGAUGCAGCAACGCCGCGUGCGGGAUGACGGCCUUCGGGUUGUAAACCGCUUUCAGCAGGGGCGAAGCUUGUGGUGACGGUACCUGCAGAAGAAGCACCGGCUAACUACGUG
rnacentral:rRNA from 1 species